UACGUAGGGUGCGAGCGUUAAUCGGAAUUACUGGGCGUAAAGGGUGCGCAGGCGGUUUGUUAAGUCAGAUGUGAAAUCCCCGGGCUCAACCUGGGCAUGGCAUUUGAGACUGGCAAGCUAGAGUGUGUCAGAGGGGGGUAGAAUUCCACGUGUAGCAGUGAAAUGCGUAGAGAUGUGGAGGAACACCGAUGGCGAAGGCAGCCCCCUGGGAUAACACUGACGCUCAAGCACGAAAGCGUGGGGAGCAAACAGG
rnacentral:rRNA from 1 species